rnacentral:rRNA from 1 species
CAACCUACCUUGGAGUGGGGAAUAACAGCUGGAAACAGCUGCUAAUACCGCAUGAUAUGUCUGUAUCACAUGGUACUGGACAUCAAAGAAUUAUCGCUCUGAGAUGGGCUCGCGUCUGAUUAGCUAGUUGGUGGGGCAACGGCCCACCAAGGCGACGAUCAGUAGCCGGACUGAGAGGUUGGCCGGCCACAUUGGGACUGAGACACGGCCCAGACUCCUACGGAAGGCAGCAG